AUCACUUUGUACAGCUUAUUUUAGAAAUAUUAUCUUGCUGUAAUGGCGUUACUUCUAUUCACAUUUUCUCUUUCAUUAGGCCCUGCCUUUUCUGGGGCAGGGAACAUACGGCUGGCAGUUGGUACACAGACACUCCAUUUUGCUGAAGGAAUUAAUAUUCUUUCAGCUAUGGAUAUUGCAUGGCAAACCUACUACACAAACAUUCAAAGCUUGCAUUUUACGAAAUAAUUUUUUCAUUAGCAACCGCCUCCAAAUCCUGUCAUAUUGUCCCAAAUCAUAGAAACAUGGUUUUUAAAGAAUGUACUGAUACAUAAAUUGUGGGUCAAGUGGAAUGAAGCCAUGAUGCAACUUAGGAGACAAGAGGCUUCCUUCCUUUGCUACCAUGGAAAGUCACAUCACAGAGGGGCUGACAGCUGUGCUGACCAAACCAUUAAGACUCAGACUUUGCCUUAACUUUCAGAUGUCAAAUCAAGUAAAUUUGGAACCAUCAUUAUUUUGAAACAGUGGUUAAACAAGAAAUUUGGUGCUGGCUUAUUGUUCUUUUUGCAUUCUUGAUAUAAUUAACAAGUAAGUGUUGGAUUGACCAAAAUUAUUUUUCAGGGAUCACUUUCAUGUACAUCAAGUUUCUCCUCCAAUACAAAUGGCACUUGACAAAUCAAAGAGACAGAAGUCUGCAAGGGAGGAAAUGGAGCCUGAGCAAGCUUAUCUACCUUGCCCAAGGUCACCCACGGCAGUCUGGUUCUCAAGACAAUGCCCUUGAUCAUGACCCACCUGACCAGUAUGAGGCAGCUCCAGCCCGAAGGAGCAGUCACAACCCAGCAGAGCCCUGUCAGUGGUUCCAGCCCAGGGCGCCCUCCUCACUCCUGGAAACACAAUUCACUCAACUCUUCAUCUGUAGAGCAGAGGUUGGCAGAUGUUUUCCAUAAAGGGGCAGAUGGUAAAUAGUUUAGGCUCUGUGGGCCACGGGGUCUUUGUCCCAGUGCAAAAGCAGCUGCAAGCAACAGUAGAU
ensembl:lncRNA